GACGAACGCUGGCGGCGUGCUUAACACAUGCAAGUCGAACGGUGAAGCUCCAGCUUGCUGGAGUGGAUCAGUGGCGAACGGGUGAGUAACACGUGAGCAACCUGCCCCUGACUCUGGAAUAAGCGCUGGAAACGGCGUCUAAUACUGGAUACGAGAAGGGUCCGCAUGGGCACUUUCUGGAAAGUUUUUCGGUUGGGGAUGGGCUCGCGGCCUAUCAGCUUGUUGGUGAGGUAAUGGCUCACCAAGGCGACGACGGGUAGCCGGCCUGAGAGGGCGACCGGCCACACUGGGACUGAGACACGGCCCAGACUCCUACGGGAGGCAGCAGUGGGGAAUAUUGCACAAUGGGCGAAAGCCUGAUGCAGCGACGCCGCGUGAGGGAUGACGGCCUUCGGGUUGUAAACCUCUUUCAGCAGGGAAGAAGCGAAAGUGACGGUACCUGCAGAGGAAGCACCGGCUAACUACGUG
rnacentral:rRNA from 1 species